ACGGUUACAUCAUGUUGAAACACUAGUUCCUAUAUGAUCACUGAAGUUAAGCAACAUUGAGUCUGGUCAGUACCUAGAUGUGUAACUGCUUGGGAAUACCAUGUGCUAUA